UUAGUUUCUGCUCCACAGAUUUCAAGUAGGUAGGGGGCAGUGGCAGAAAUUCAACGGAGGAAAUGGUAAGGAGGCAGGGGCGGAUUCAGACCGUUGCAACCGUAGCAUAUGCUACGGUCAGAUUUUGGGUACUUCCUCGGGUAGAAGAAUUUGCAUCACAGAUUACGUCAUCAGUUAGUUAUAGUGAUUAGUGUUGGGGUUAG